GUUUUUGCGCACCUAUUCACGGUCGCCUACAGCGGGGCUGUUUUAGCCUGGCUUCCGCCCUUAGUAAGGCGCCAGUAUGUUCCUGCGACAGGAAACUAAUACUGACUGACCCUCCUGGAUGGCAUCGCAGACCUGAAUACCCGUUAAGGAGUCACCUGAGCCAGUGGAUCCUUCCUGCUUUGAUACUAUCCAACAACAUCAAAUAAGGAGGCCUCUCUCCAAACUAAGCCAUCUUUGUAAAUUAGGCAACAAAGGGUAUGGGAUGAUUCCUGUGUUCUUUUCAUUUCAGAAUUUCUGAAAGUAGCUAAGAUCAAGACUAGAAAGAACAAGUUCCCUCUGAGAAAACAUAUCACCUCUAUGCUAACGCACUCACUAAAACCCUAGUGACUUGACGGCCAGCCUUCACUCUCUGCUCACUCUGUAACCUGAAGCAAACUCUGACUACCAGUUAGUUCAUCAGUGAGGGAGACACCCGAACACUGCAGUGACGAGAGGUCAGUGGGAAUCUAGAUAUCUGAGCUCUAGCCCAAUGGAAUUCAGCUAUAGGUUGCCCAGUAGCCUAGACCUCAAUCUUCUCAAUCUUUAAAAUAAUAAGUUUUGCCUUUAUAAGGGCCAGCAUGCACCCAUGACCAUCAAAGGUAAGCUAACUGGUUUUUCUUUUCUUUUCUUUUUUCCGAGACAGGGUUUCUCUGUGUGGCCCUAGCUGUCCUGGAACUCACUCUGUGGACCAGGCUGGCCUGGAACUCAGAAAUCUGCCUGCCUCUGCCUCCCAAGUGCUAGGAUUAAAGAUGGCAACAAAGACUUGGAGUUGACUUGUCCGCAGUAGCAGCACUGAUUCCUGCAUGACCCAGCCAUGCUACUGACAACUGCGAUGGACGGAGUUGACAUACACAUGCACCAAAAUCAGGAUUCUUUGUUUUUUAGUUCAAAUGCACAAUAAAGACAGGCGGCCAGGAUUCUUGUGAUUUAGAAGAUCGCUUUGGACUUUAGAAUUUUAAGUUUCUCAAGUAAUUUUUUUCAACUAGGAUAUAGUCAUUUCUGUUGCAGGAUUCCUUCCCUUUAAUCAUCCAAGUAUGGGGGCUUUCAAGAAUUCCAAAAACACUGAGAGUAGAAGGUCCCGGAAGGCUCCCUGCCAAUUGUGUACUUGCAAUUCUCUCUCUGUGUAUCCAUGUAUAUAUUCAUACACAGCUGGGAAAUCCACAAUAAUUUUAGUAUGAAGAAAAAAAUUAACUUGGCAGAAUUGAAGACCCUGGUCAACCAGAAGGGCUGCCUCCACCUUCAACACGAUACCGAAUGCAUCUCAUGUCACAUGACCUCACUUUAAGCAAAUACAUAAAAAAAUCCAGGUAUCUACACAACCAAGUUUAAAGGGAUUUUCAUUUACUGAUAUAAUAAAAGAAUGCCUUUAAAUGAAUCAAAGCUGUCAGGUACCUUUAUAAUAUGGUAUGAUGUAAACAUUUCCAGGAACACUUAUUGUAUAAAGUGGGGUACACCUGUAAUAAUAAAGCUACAAUGAACUUCUGCAUUACAGCUGGAAUUCUGCAGUGCUCAAU